rnacentral:rRNA from 1 species
AAAACUUUCAACAAUGGAUCUCUUGGUUCUGGCAUCGAUGAAGAACGCAGCGAAAUGCGAUAAGUAAUGUGAAUUGCAGAAUUCAGUGAAUCAUCGAAUCUUUGAACGCACAUUGCGCCCGCCAGUAUUCUGGCGGGCAUGCCUGUCCGAGCGUCAUUU